rfam:Triticum urartu cultivar G1812 contig661582, whole genome shotgun sequence.
UAAGUACUCCCUCCACCCCAAAAUUAUUGUCUUAGAUUUGUCUAGAAACGGAUGUAUCAAGUCACGUUUUAGUAUUAGAUACAUCCAUAUCUAGACAAAUCUAAGACAAGAAAUUUGGGAUAGAGGGAGUAGUUG